rnacentral:lncRNA from 1 species
AUAAGUCAUUGCAAAACAGCCACCUGUAUUUUCUUCUUCUUUUCACAGCCACCGGUAUUUUCUUCUUCUUUUCCGUCGGCUUGUUGGAGGGGGAAAAUGAAGUGAAAAAACAAGAAUUGUUUACUGGGGGCCUACAACUCUGAAGCCCACACUUGUCUUCGAGGUGAAAUUUUUUAUACACAUAAUUUUACUCACAACUUUCAAUUUCAUCAAAGUUUUCAGAUGAUCCAUUGUUGUCAUACAGUACAGUGUUUGAAGGUAAAACAAAACACGAGAUUUGUACAGUUUUAUUGGGUCUUAUUUUCCUUAAUUUAUCGGUGAUAAAACAAGGUACAAUGUGGUUUUAUUCUCUUUAUUUUAAUCAUAUUCGACAAUAAUGGGUAAGACUAAUGAUUCUGGGUUUUGCCUAAUAAUUCCUAACAUUAAUGUUACUGUAUUUUAUUUUGUUCUGUUUUGUUUAUGGGUUCCGUAGCUCAAUGGGUUUUACCAAAGAUUCUCGGGUUUGUUCAAGAAUUCCUUACAUUGAUGUUAGUGGACAUUUUUGUUGCCAUUUCUACUUAUUUUAUUUUUAUUAAUUUUGUGGUUUCAUACUUUCUUGGAUUUUGCCUUAUUUGUUGUGAUUUCUGUUUUUUUUUAUAAAUUAAUCAUACAUACCCUUCUGCAAACACAAAAUUAAAUAAACAUAUUAUUUAGGCAAGUUAGACAAAUACUGAGGCCUCUGCAUUUGCAUAUAUUUGUCAAUUGAAAUUUGGAUGAUUAUUGAAUCCGGUGUUAUAAAUAAAUGCUUACAAAGAUAAAUGUGCUUGCAGAAUGGCUAGAUUUUUCAGAAGAGACUUUGAUGUGUUUCCUCGCAUAAACCUGGUCAGUGUCGUUUUUGGAGGUUACUGUGGUUAUGUUAUUGGGGAGUGGUAAGUCUUCACGGUUUUCAACUAUUAAUUGCUUAAUUAAUCAGCUUGCACUUUGAAUUACUUGUGCCCAUAUGCAUAUGAUUAUAAUUUUUUAUUGACCUUCAUUUUUUUGAGUCUACACUUUAAUCUCUGAAUCAAACCUGAAUCUUUGUUGAUAUUUUUAUAUUUUAUGCAUGUAAUGGACAAUUGACUUGUUACUAUUUACCUCACUCCGUCCUUCACCUAUCCAUAAAGUUAUCUGCUCAUAAGUAAUUAUUUUUUCAAGUGAUUGGAGUUUUUUUCUUUAAUGAUAUGCAGAAGAUAUUGUAUUAUGAUUAGAUCCGUAGGAUGCUUUAAUUUAUGCUGAGUUGGUGCUUUUUUUGUCGUUCUCCUAGCCUUUGCCUUUUCUGUCAUUCUCCUAGCCUUUGCUUCCUUACUCUGAGGAUCGCCACUAUUAUAAAUGAAGUUAACUUAUGGUAUUUGACUAUUUGUAGAAAUUUGAUAGUUGGUAUUUUUGCCACUAUUAUAGAAUCUGUUGAAUGCUCGAUGUAAUUUCUUUUUAACAGGUCAGGAAAAAGCAGGAUGAGGGAAUUGAUCAAGAACGAGAGGUAUCAUAUAGUACCACAUAGUACUUUAUUCUUUCUUAUAGAUACAGUGCUUCAUAUUAGUUGAAUAUAUGCAGAGAUGUCACCUGACUCUUAAGAGCUGACUAAUCUUUGAAAAUGAUUCAGUUCAUGGGAUUAACGAACCUUGAUUAGUCUAAGACUUGCUUACUUCCUUCUUUUCUUGGAGACUUGAAGCAGUCCCCAUAAAAUAAUGGAUAAUUAAAAAACUAGUCAUGUUUAUCCAUAAUUGGCUUAGUUUGAUUUCCCACAAGGGCCGUUAGGUUACAUUAUUGAUUUAAUUUUUAUGCUUGUUGAAGUAUUUAAUUUAUGUGUCAAUGCCGUUUGUCUUUUGGGACUAGUUGGAGAGGAAAAGGAGAGCUUUUGUUAGUGAAAUUGUCUAUGGUAAGAGCGAAAGCUUUGUUGCUAGUGCUAUCAGCCAUGUACUAUGUUUUCUGCUCUUAGGGACUACUCUGAGAUUCUUUAUUUUCUUUUUGUUUUUUCUUGGGUAGUUUGUGUUUGUGCGUGUGCACGAUAGCGUGGGGUACAAUUAGCUGAUACAUUAUUCUCUUAAUGUACUUUAGUUCCGCGCUCCCAUUUGGUGCUCUUCUAACAAAUACUAAUCCAUAUUACUUGCCAAAAAAGUGAAAAACUAGAAAAAAGUAGUUAUUUAACAAAUAAAUUAAGGUAUCGUUUCUAUGUAUUUUGAGCUGAUUAUGCUUAUCAAAGCAAAUGUCUUUAAGGAAUUACAUUUUGUAGACUUAGAUUAGAUGUUGGGUGAGAUUUUAUUUAUUUAUUUAAUAUUAUAUUUUUAACUGCUAUGCGUAAUGUAAGGGUUAAAAGUAUUCGUACCUAUUAAACUAAAGGCAUUUUAUGUUUGAACAUUGUUUUCUAGUCAUCUCAUUGAACUAAUAAUUAAUUAAAAAAACUGAAAAAACGUCAAUUCUAUUAAAAAUUAAAGGGCUGAUCUAUAUUGUGCCACGUGACGUGCUGAUGAGUAUGAAAAGUUGAGUUGGAUAAAUUAAUUAAAUUAAAUUAAAUCCAUUUUCUAUAACUAAAUUAAAAUAAACCUUUUUACUAUAUUUAAAUUAAAUUCAUUUCAUUUAAUUGAAUAAAUUAUUUUUACUUCAAUUAAAUGAAAAAUGGAUGUUCAACUUAAUUAAACAACUCAAAAGUUAAAAGUUUUACUUUAAUUUUUUCACUAAUUCUUAAUACCACCACCACCACUACUACCUUUGUGUUGUUCAAAAUCACAAGUUUCGUAAAUGUCCAAUGAAGAAUGCAAUCAACAAUCAAACAGCAAUUUAGUUGAUCCGUCUCUCCCCUAAUGUCAUGUACCCUUCCCUUUCCUCGUGAAUCCUUCUUUGCUUUACUAGAUCUGAAUAUUUUUCAUGUCUUGACAACACAUUAGAUAACCCCAAUUUUUUUGUUGUUUUUCAAAAUGAAUUAAAAAUAGAAAUCCGACUAAGUACUUUAGAUAAGAGAGAAAUUAGGCACAUAUACGGCAAACUUGUGGUGAUGGAAUGUUAGAGAGUAAGAGGGCAAUGUUGAAAUUUUAGAGAGAGAAAUUAGGCACAUAUAUCACAAAAUGGUCUUUCAACCAAAAAAUUUAGGGAUAGUUUUUCAACCUAAACUUUUAGAGAACACUUUAAACCCACCUACAAAUAAUAAAACUCCAAAUCCUAAAAUUUGUUUAAUGUGAAAUCCUAUUUCCCUAUUAUUCGCAAAAAACUCUCGGCUAAGGCUUCAAUUUCUUUAGUCUUUCUCUCUUUCUCUUGCUUCUACUCUUGUAUUUCUUUGCAUUUUGAUAUUGAGUUUUAUUUUCUACUGCUGGAUUCCUACAGUUAGUUAUUUAGCCUUAUGAUCUAUUUACUAUGUUGAAGAGAUAUAAUUAACUAUGAGUGGCCAAAUUCAGAAGUGCAAAAUUUGUUACAAAUGGAAAAGCUUAUAGCUUAGAUACUUUGUUAUUAGCAUUGUAGAAAUUACCUUUUUUGGUUUAUGAGAAUAGGAUGUUUACCUUUUUUGAGAUUUGGGGUUUUUGAUUUUAUUCUUCUUUUUAUUAUUUGACCAAUCUCCCUCCCUUCCUCUCCCUCUGCCUCUCCCUCUCCUUCUCCCUUUAAUUCAUGUUCAAAAUUAAACUAUAACUAAGAUAGUAUAAUACAAAAAAGUAUAAACAUUAAAAUAAUUCUAUAACAAAACCCGUGCUUUGUACAUAUACGUGAUAUGUCUAUCUCUCACGUGUCCUGCACAUAUAACUUUUCUGCAAGUCAAACUAGUUGGACUAAUUUUUUAGCAUUUUGUAUGAUUUUAUUAAUUAUGUUAGUUAAAUGGUAAAGAAUUACAUUCAAUAAAUAGGCAAAAGUAUAUUUAAUCCAUAUGCGUAAGCAAUAGGACUGAUCAUUCGGCUAUAACCGAACCGAAUAGGUUAUUCGGUUAUAACCGAAAUACCGAAUUGUAAAUUCGGAUAUUUCGGUUAAUAACCGAACCUAUGCUCCCUGUUAUCAUUUACAAUAAAAAAAAGAACCAUUACCGAAUUGUAAACCAUUACAUAUGAAUACUACUUUUUCCCAUGCCCCUCCCUGUUUUAGAUUCCACCCUACAGAAGUACAUAUGAAGAAUUUGUUGAUUACUACCUUAGAAAAAAGAUUGCUUCGAAAAGAAUCGAUCUUACGAUCUAGAUGUCAUCAAUGAUGUAGAUCUCUACAAAAUUGAGCCAUGGGAUCUUGAAGGUUGAAGAAAAGAGUCGCCGACUCACUCGCCGACUCGCAUGGAGCUGCCAAGGGUAAGGCGGAGGUCGGAGACUGAGAGAGACGGAGAAAUCGAAAUCGAGAGGCGGAGACGGAGAAGAAAGAGGAUAUGGUCGAAGCUGAGAGACGAAGAAGAAAGAGGAUGUGGUCGAAACUGAGAGGCGGAGAGGAAAGAGGAUACGGGAUAUGGGAUAAUGGGAAAUGGGAUCUGGGAUGGACGAAUGAGUGGGAUCUGACUUCUGAGAGUCCAACUCAAAAUGGAAUACUAAUAGUCUAAUAUAGUAUAGUCAUAUAAUACAGAUAAGAUACCUCCUAGUCUCCUACCGGCUAUCGCCAUACGGCCCAUAUAUUUUUUUAAUUAAUAAAUUCGGUAAUUCGGAUACCCGAAUUAGUUGUUUUUUAAAACCGAAUCCGAAACCGAAUACCGAGUGUUAACGCCAAGUUUCGCCGGCGCGUCCAAUCACAGAAUCCACGCGCUAAAACCUGCACAAUAACAGAUCACACAGAAGCUUGACGACUUUUGCUGCCGGGGGAUAGCUCCGGCGUGAGAAUAAGUACAGGCCGUUCACAAGGUUUAACAAUGGAGGCUAAGUGUUUAGUGCUCAAAAGUAGGUAUUACCUCUUAAUUGUAACCUUGGCCUUGUAUUUAUAGUAUUCACCACCUUUAGAAUCCCUUUCCGAGUCGGUUUAGGACUCCUAAAUAUGGCAGUUACCAAUAUUUGGGUCCAACACAAUAUCCUUAAAAGGUGCAAAUGGAAUCCAAUCCAACCACUACCUCUGGAGUUGCCUUAUUCAAUUAUGGUUAGGACUCUAGGCUCUAUGCGCAGGAAAGCCCACUGCACAGGCCCAACCCAACCGAACUCCCCAUCGGGUCUGAACCCCGGCCCAAAGGACUUGAAGACUCGACCCCGAACACCUCACACCAACUCACCCAUGGGCUUCAGCCCGAUGGGCUCACGAACCCCUUUCAAUGUCAGGCUUUCGGCCCACUGGGAGGUCGGUAAAACGCUCCCGAACAUUGCCCCCCAGUCUCUUGUUAUAAUGUACUUAUAAUUAGAGACUUGAAAGGUCAGGUAUUCGAAAGGUCACGAGAGCUAAUGAUGAGCUGUCUGGGGAACCCAAGCGGCCUGUCCUCGAAUUCGAAACGUUGCACGCCUUUCCAUGUUUGGUCCCACCUUGAGCAUUUAAUAGCCGCCCUUGGGUAGCGUGCAACUACACCUAUAAAACCCCCCUUUCCCCCUCAUUAUCACUUUUCCCAAAUAUCUUCAUUUCAAACCCUCUAUUCAAAUUUUCCGGCGAGCUCAUUUCUUCUCUCCAACACUUCACCGAGUUUGUCUACUCUGCCCACUUUUGAACUUCAUUUUUGUUCACUUUCUUGUUAAAACUUCACAUUUGUCUCAUUCCCCUCGAUCAAAUGGCUGAUUCUAGCAUUCCACCCCCACCACUGAACCAACCCCCCCCUCCGUCACUACCGGCGAUCUAGUUCCGGUAGAACUUCCGACAGCCUCUACCGAUAUCCUCCCAGUCGAUGCUGAAGACCGAAUUCGAAGCGUCUACGCUUCAGCCACUGACUUCUCACACAUCAACACCCCAUCAACCGUCUCCUCCUCUCAAAUUUCAGACAUCCGCGUGCUAUUCAACAUCCCGAGGAAGAGAGGAUGUUUUGGAGGCCCGAAGGUGAAUGGGUAGUCGUUCCCCUAUACCUCCUCAAAUAUGGGAUUCGGUUCCCACUCCACGAAUUUAUUUCAACCUUUCUUGGCUUUGUGGGGAUUGGGUUCGCACAACUUGUGCCGAACUCUUAUAUCCAUCUAGUCUUUUUCAUCGCCCUGUGCCAGGAGAUGGGGAUCACUCCUGGCCUGGAUUUCUUCUUUGCCUUGUUUACUGUUGGCGGGUCGAAAGAACCUGGCCUUCGGCAGCUAAACAAGCGACCCAACCGUUCUGUCCUCGUCAAAACCCCUUCGAGUAACAAGGGGUGUCACGACAAAUGGUUCUUUGCCAAGGGAACCGACCUCCAACUUCUUCCUCACUGGGCCCAUCCCGAGGACCCCGUCGUGAAAGUAUCCAAGUUUCCCAAGGAUCGGGCCGACGCCUUCAAAGCAUUCUAUAAGAAGUUGAGCAAGACCGAAUGGAGUUUGACCGUCUUGUCCAAUGAAGCCUGGCUAUACAAACACGGGCGUAAGUUACAAUUCCCCUACCUUUAAGUGUGAUGAUUUUAUUUUUUGUAUGCCGUAUUAUUAACUGCUCUGUCUGCCUGGCAGUAACCAUCUUUAAACCCGAAGGUGCCAACGACUCCCUGGUACCUCUUCUCACCACCACCGGACCAAUCCGACCCCCGGUGACCGACGACUCUCCGGACGAAGAAACUAUCCCGAUCAUCGAACUUUCAUUAGGCUCUGGUACGGGGCCCGACCCCCCGACCACCACCAAGAAUGCUUUGAAGAUGAGUCGGGCCGAGAAAGCGGCUCUGUUAAAGAAGACCAAAGGGCCUUCCAAGCCUUCUGCGAAAGUUUUUGCUAAGACCAUCUCCGCAACACCCCCGAAACCGACUCCUCCCCCACCCCCUACUCAAGCCGAGGUGAUCGUGGACUCGGAAGACACUGAAGAGGAGCCCCUUGAGCCCCGAUCCAAGAAGCCACGGCUCACUGAAGGUUCCGAACCGCCGGUUGCUGUUGUCGAUCCUAUAGUCGCCUCAGCCCCUUCGUCUACCCCCAGCUCAUCACACGGGUCUCCGACCACCUGUUGGCCGAAGAGUCCUUCAGAGGUAUUUCCCUUUAACCUGUUCAAUCACUUUAAGCUUUCGGGCGAUGACGAACGGUUCAAGGGAUUUUCUUCCGAGGAGUAUUUAGUGGCUUACGUCCGGGCUCAAUGCCAGGUAAUUUUGCGGUUAUUUACCUUGUCUUUGUAAACUUAUAAUUUGAUUUUGAUAACUGAUGCAUGUGUUUGUUGCAGGCCAACGCCAUCCUUGCUCGAGCCAUUCCUCCCCUCGCUCGAACCACUAAAAAGGAAGUUCAGCUGAGGUUGGACGUGAUGCUGCUUGAAGCUGAGGUUCGAGGCCUAAACUCGGACCUGAAGAAGGAACGAGAGCUCCACGCUGAGACCCGGAAUAAGGCAACCCGAGCCGAACGCCAGGCCGACGAACUCAGGGAACAAUACUCUUUCCUUUAGCAUGAGUUCGUCGGCCUCGAAGGCCAUGCUAAAAGGUUAGGAGAAGGAGCAGCUGGCCUCCGACUUCAAAGAGCGGGAACAGGCUAUCGAAGACCUUGGGGAGAAGUUUUCUGAAGCGCACGAGAAGAUGAAAUAUCUGAUUCGGGAAAACAACUCCCUGAAGGAAGGUCAAGCCGAAGCCCAGCAGCGGAUCAUAGCCGAAUACGAAGAGUCCGACGCCUUGAAUGAUAAGGUCAUGGCCCAGUUUGGUGAAGGGUAUGAGGCUUAUCGUGAAAAGGCUCGGGCGAAAUUAAUAGCUGCUGGGCUCGAUGCCUCCCUACUCGACUCGUCGGACGAAGAAUCUGAAGUCGGCGAUGACCCUCCUCCCGAAUAGCUCUUUCAAGACUUGUAAAUUUUUGUACUUCUUCCAUUUUCCUUUUUAUUUGUACUUCGCCCGAAUCGUAAGCGAUCGGGUUUGUAAAAAUUUCAAAGUAUGAAUGAAAUAGAGUAUCUUUGCUCAUAAAUUUUUGUAAUCAGUUAUACUCGUGACUUAUCUCGAUCAGUGGUAUCUUUCCGAACCUCCUGAUCGGAUAGUGCCCGAAGCUUGUCUGAUUCCAGAAUUGCAGUCUCGAUCAGUUAUACCCGCGACUGUACUGAUCAGUUUCGUCGUUUUUGACUUUCUGAUCGGUUUAAGCUCGAUGUUUAUCUGAUCGGAUACUGAAAACCGUAUGAAUAUAGAUGAAGCCAAACAUCUCCAAAGAUAACUUUCAUUUAUUUCAUUUAAAAUUGAAACGGUUACAUGGAUAAAGAAAAGAAUGACAUAACUAUUAUUGGUAAAAUUUUCUAAGUCUUCCAGCAUGCCAUGUAUUCUUUACUUCCGAACCAUCCAUUGCUCGAAACCGGUAUAUACCUGGCUUCGGCACCUCUACUACUUCGUAUGGUCCCUCCCAGUUAGGCAUCAGUUUACCGGUGUUCUGGGGGGUUGAUGCCUCCGACUCCCGGAGGACCAAAUCGCCCACUUCAAACCUCCUUUGUUUUACCUUCCGAUUAUAGUGUCGAGCUGUUCGCUGCUGAUAGAUAGCCAAUCUCAUCACAGCUGAACCCGAACCUCUUCCAGCAGAUCCAAGUUUGUUUUCAAACCUUCAUCAUUAUAUAGUUCUUUGUACUGACUGACUCCAAGAGUAGGGGACCCGAUCUCAACCGGUAUGAGUGCAUCGGUCCCGUAUGCCAGUUGGAAAGGAGAGUCCCCGGUUGUUGUCCUUGGAGUAGUUCGAUAUGCCCACAAAACACUGAGUAGCUCUUCGGGCCACCGACCCUUUAACUCAUCCAGCCUUCUUUUGAUCCCGUUGAGCAGGGUUCGGUUGGUCACUUCUACUUGACCAUUCGACUGAGGGUGGGCGACUGAAGUCUUGCGAUGCUGUAUUCCCAAUUCUUUUAGAAAGCCUUCGAACUUUGACCCCACAAAUUGUCUGCCAUUAUCAGAGACCACUACCAUCGGAAUACUGAAAUGAUAAACGACUCCUUCUUUGAAAAAUUUCAGGCAUUCUUGUUCGGUGAUCUUCUGCAGUGGUUUGGCUUUGACCCAUUUCGUCAUAUAAUCGAUAGCCACGAUCACAAAACUAACUUGUCCCUUGGCCUUCGGCAGAGGCCCUAGGAUGUCGAUUCCCCACACAGCAAAGGGAAUCGGGGAUAAAACCGAAUACAGCUCUUCGGGAGGUUGAUGUGGGAUAGUGUUGUUCAGCUGACACUUAGGACACCUUCUGACGAAUUCUUUGGCCUCCGUGUAGAUAGUCGACCAAUAAUACCCCUGCCUCAAAAUCUUGUGUGCCAGUGACUUUGCUCCCAUGUGAUUCCCAUAGAUCCCUUCAUGUACUUCCCGAAGAGUGUAAUCCGCCUCUGAUGGGGUUAAGCAUUUGAGCAGUGGGGAGCUAAAUGCCCUUCGGUAUAGGUCUCCGUCUAUAAGGACGAAGUUCGAACUCCCGUGUUUAACUUUUCUUGCAAGGAUUCGGUCUGAAGGUAGAACCCCAUCUGCCAGAUACGUGAUGUAAGGUGUGAGCCAGCAGUCGAGUCGGUCCAAAGCCAGCACCUCUGUCUUCGGAACAUUUGGUCGUUCUAAAACCUCCAGGUAUACCGACCCGUUGAAGGAACUUGCUUCGGUGGUUGCCAACCUGGCUAGGGCAUCUGCUACUGUAUUAUCUGACCGGUCCACCCCCUGACAACUGUGUGAUGUGAAGUAAGCAAGCUUAUCUUUCACCUCGGCCAGAUAUUUUGUCAUUCUUGCUCCCUGAGCCUCAUACUCUCCCGACAGCUGCUUGACCACCGGCUGCGAAUCACUGUAGAUGGCCAACUUCUGAACUUCCAAGCUCCGAGCCAACCGUAUCCCUGCUAGGAUGGCCUCGUACUCUGCUUCGUUGUUCGUGGCCUUGAACUGAAAUCGAAUCGCCUGCUGGACUUUGAACUCUUUGGGGCUUGUCAGGAUGACCCCUGCCCCACUGACGUCCGAUGUUGACGAUCCAUCCACGUAUAAAGUCCACGCGGUCGGCCCUUGUUGGGUUUCGGUCACUGUAUUCACGUUUGGUUCCGUGAAAGAGCAUUCCACGAUGAAGUCAGCCAAUGCCUGACCCUUGAUUGCCGUUCGGGGAUGAUACUCUAUAGCAAAUUGCGUUAGCUCCAUCGCCCAUGCUGCAAGCCGACCCGACACAUCCUGCUUAUGCAAUAUUUUCUUUAACGGCUGAUCCGUAUAUACCACCACCAUCCGACCUUGGAAAUAAUGCCGAAGUUUCCUGCUUGCAAUGAUUAGGGCAUACGCGAAUUUCUCCAGGUUCGGGUAUCUUGUUUCUGCAUCUCAAAGAACAUGGCUGACGUAGUAUACCAGGAACUGUUUUCUUCAUUUGUCUCUCACCAAUGCCGUUCCCACUGCCAUCGGGCUCGCAGCCAAGUAUAAGUAUAAAGGUUCCGAAGGGAUCGAUUUCAUCAGUAAUGGUGCCGAAGACAGAUACUUUUUAAUCUCCUGGAACGCGUCUUCGCAUUCCGAUGUCCACUGAAAACUCUUCUCAUUCUUCGGCCCCUUGAGAGUGUCAAAGAAGGGCAAACAUCUUUCGGCUGAUCUUGACACGAAUCUCCGAAGGGCAGCUAUCCGGCCCGUCAACCUUUGCACGUCUUUGAAUGUCUUCAGAGAUUUCAUGUCUAAGAUCGCCGCAAUUUUCUCUGGGUUUGCUUCGAUACCCCUUUUGCUGACCAAAUAUCCCAGAAACUUUCCUGAACCCAAACUGAAAGUACAUUUGGUUGGGUUCAGUCUCAGUUUGUGUUUCCUUACUGUUUCGAAGCAGUCUUCUAGGUCCUUCAGAUGAUCCCGGACUGACAUGCUUUUUACGAUCAUGUCGUCCACGUAUACUUCCAUACUUCGGCCUAGCUGCUUUCUGAAUACAAAGUUCAUCAUCCGUUGAUAAGUUGCCCCCGCGUUCAGCAAUCCGAAGGUCAUCUUCCGAUACGCAUAUAUGGCCCGAUGAGUGAUGAAGCUUGUCUGCGGGAUGUCAUCCUUGUUCAUCGAAAUUUGGUGGUAUCCCGAGAAAGCGUCCAUGAAACUUAACAUACCAUACUCCGAAGUUGCAUCAAUCAGUUGGUCUAUGUUGGGUAGAGGAUAGAAAUCUUUUGGGCAUGCCUUAUUAAGAUCUGUGUAGUCGAUGCAUAACCUCCACUUCCCGUUUUGCUUCUGAACCAAUACCACAUUCGCCAGCCAUUCGGGGUAGUCGAUCUCGAAAAUGAAUCCUGCCUCCAUCAGUUUAGCGAUCUCUUCAUCUAUGAUCCUCUGCCUUUUUGGGGCGAAAAUCCUUCUUUUCUGUAUCACUGGUUUUCUCUUCGCGUCUGUAUGCAGUCUAUGUAGCUCUACCGAUUCACUUACCCCUGGCAUAUCGCUAGGCUCUCAAGCGAAGAUAUCGGCAUACACCCGAAGCAAGUCCACCAGACUUGUCCGUAGUGGUUCUGUCAAACUUGCCCCAAUCUUGAUCAGUUUUUCUGUGUUCCCCGGUAUCAACUCAACAUCUUCUGUCUCUUCUGCCGGCAGUGCCAUCGGUUCAGUGCUAUUUUCGGUGAACGGCUCUAUCUCGAUGGCCAUCGUCUGUUUCUGUUUGCUGACCCCAACCCCUGAGGAGAUCAGAGUGUUCCGAUAACACCUUAGGGCAAUAUCAAGGUCGCCUUUUACCUCCCUAAUCUCGUUUGGUGUUGGAAAUUUGAUCUUGAAGUGUGGAAUGGAUGUUACUGCUUGUAGGGCUGCUAGGGUCGGCCUUCCCAGAAUAGCAUUAUAGGUCGAAUCCACCUGUACCACGAAAAAUCUAACCAUGAUUUCUGCCUGCUGGGGUGCUGUACCGAACCUGACGGGAAGCUCUAUCGUUCCUGACACAUGCACCGGGUCCCCGCUGAACCCAUAUAAUGGACCCUCUCCUCCCAACUCCAUCUUCUUUCCUUCCAAGUCCAUCCUCUGAUAGGCGUGCGUGUACAGUAUGUCGACCUAGGAUCCGUUGUCGACCAUCAUCCUUUUCAUAUCCAUCGGCCCGACCUGUGUCGUUAUCACCAACGCCCCGUCAUGUGGUUCGGUGUGAUCAAUAGGGUAAUCUUCAUCCGAGAAGGAGAUGGAGACUCCCGAGUAGACCCUGUCCUUUCGGGGUGAUGAAUUUGCUACUGAUAAUACCGCCUUGAGGUGCCCACUCCUCUUCCUUCCGGUUACACGCCCUACCGACCCGCCCGAAAUUACAUCAAUCACCCCUCAGGCUUGUGGGUGCGGUUGCGGCUGUGUUUCCCGAGUUGGCUCCCUGUUCUCUUCCCGGGGUGCCUUGGAGCCUUCCCGACCGACCACAUACUGCACCAGUUGCCCAUUCUGGACAUUCUUCUCUAUCAAAUCUUUCAAGUCGUUACACAUCUCCGUCGUAUACCCCCGACAUUGAUGGUAUGCACAAUAUUUGUCCCGACCUCUCUUUCCAGGCUUAGGGAUCGUCGGGUAUGGCUCGAAGAAAGGUUUAUUCCUCAUCUCCUCCAAUAUCUUCGCCCGAUCAGUGUUGAGUGCGGUAUAGACUUUGUUGACAUUCUUAUUCGGGAAAGGCGGUCGUCCGUUGCCCGAACCUCCCCCAUUGUAGCUUUUCUUACCAUAAUUAUCGGACUUCCCCCUGAUUAUCGGACCUUUGGUAACUCUGCUUGUCCCGAUCUUUAGAUUUCUCGUAAGAUUGGGAGUGGGGUUUAAAAUUUCCCAUCGCUUCCUCUAUUGCUAUGUGACCCUCGGCUCAGUGGAAGGCUUCUGUCAAAUCUGCCGGAGGGUUGAUCACUAGAUCCUUCAUCAACUUCUUCUGUCAAAUCUGCCGGAGGGUUGAUCACUAGAUCCUUCAUCAACUUCUUCAAUUUCCCGAUGUUUAAACCAGUAGUGAAGAAUCCCAAGGCUUGUGGGGAGUUUAACUCUGUUACCGACCCCACAGCCUCUCGAAACCUUUUGACGUACUAACCCAAGCUUUCAUCUAACUUCUGUCUGACUUGCAUGAGGGAAGCUGUGAUCUUUCCUCGCCUUCUGUUACUUCCGAAUCGAGCAUGAAAUUUUUCCCGAAGAUCACUCCAUGAAUUGAUCGAUCCUGCCGCCAAAUUUUCCAUCCAUUCUCGGGCGCUCUUCUUCAAGGUCGUUGCGAACAUGUGACACUUGGCAGCAUCAGAAUGGCCGUAGUAUGUCAUCAGCCUGUCAUACCCGUCUGAGUGAUCAUAUGGAUCCCCCAGGCCAUCAUAGGUCUCCAUCGGGGGCAUCUUCUUCUUGGGGUUGGCUAUCACAUGAUUGAUUUCAGGGGAGAAAGGCGACCCUAUGCAAGCUGAAGGUGUUCCCAGUGCACUCUUCGCCGCCAACAACUUUUCCAAUUCUGCCACCCUUCGGGCAAGGGGGUCGGAGUCCUCCUUACGAGGGGACGAUCGGGGUCUGUCCCUCCCGUAUUCAGGGGUCGCGUCCCUCCUCCUAUGUCCCGAUCUGCUCGGACGAUCCGAUCUUCGAUCUGGCGAACGGCUCCUCAUUCUACUUCGGCCUUCCCGAGACCGACUGCGGUGCCUGCUCUUUUCAUUUCUAGCUUCUCCCCGUCGGGGUGACCGGGACCGGCUCCGAUGCCUACGCCUCUUUGAGGAGGCCUCCUGCUCCCCAGCCAUCUGCGCCAUCUGCUGAUCGAGAUCCUCCUGCUGAAGACGUAGGGCCAACAUGGCAUCUCGGUUCUGUUGCAUCUUCUUCUGCAAGAUAAACUCCCUCUGAUCUUUGUUGUUCUCCCCUUGAUCCUUCCCAUGUACCUCCAGCGCCCGAGAACGAUUCUCAUCCGCGUGACUAGCCUGGUUGGGGGUAUGAUGGCUGUCAUGGAAGAGCUGUCGCCGGAGGGAAGCAGCCGGUUCCUGCUGGUCACCUUGGAUUCUGGAACCCAAUCUGUUUUUGACCGACCCUCUCACCUAGGUGGUCUGGUGCGCUUUCGCCUUUUCCUGGUUAGAAGCACUGUUUUUCCUGCUCGCCAUGGCCUCUUACCGGAAAAGCCAGUUGUGAUUGAUCAAGCACUAAAAAGGCCCCUCCUUCUAGCGCCAAUGUUAACGCCAAGUUUCGCCGGCGCGUCCAAUCACAGAAUCCACGCGCUAGAACCUGCACAAUAACAGAUCACAUAGAAGCUUGACGGCUUGUGCCGUCGGGGGAUAGCUCUGUUGUGAGAAUAAGUACAUGCCGUUCACAAGGUUUAACAAUGGAGGCUAAGGGUUUAGUGCUCAAAAGUAGGUAUUACCUCUUAAUUGUAACCUUGGCCUUGUAUUUAUAGUAUUCACCACCUUUAGAAUCCCUUUCUGAGUCGGUUUAGGACUCCUAAAUAUGGCAGCUACCAAUAUUUGGGUCCAACACAAUCUCCUUAAAAGGUGCAAAUGGAAUCCAAUCCAACCACUACCUCUGGAGUUGCCUUAUUCAAUUAUGGUUAGGACUCCAGGCUCUAUGCGUAGGAAAGCCCACUGCACAGACCCAACCCAACCGAACUCCCCAUCGGGUCUGAACCCCGACCCAAAGGACUCGAAGACUCGACCCCGAACACCUCACACUAACUCACCCAUGGGCUUCAGCCCGAUGGGCUUACGAACCCCUUUCAAUGUCAGGCUUUCGGCCCACUGGGAGGUCGGUAAAACGCUCCCGAACACCGAGUAAUAAAUCGGAUAUAACCGAAAUUAAAAAAAAAAUCGAAAAACCGAAAUAAUUCGGUUAAAAAAAUUCGGUUGUGUUCGGUAAUUCGGUUUUAUCCGUUUUUUGCUCACUCUUAGUAAGCACAAGCAUUUUGUGUACAAUGUUGGAAACCAUUUUUCUCUUUUAUUUUUAUGGUACAGGUAUUCUAUUUAUAAGUUCAUAUUUACUGUUAUUCCUCUCUAAAUUAGCUUAUGCUGUUAUUUUUUUUUUGUUUGAGUGGAUCCUAAGUGGUUGCAAGGCUUUAGCGGGUUGAGUUAUUAUUCUUUUGUUCAAGCUUACACAUAAUAGUAAUGGAAGAUUCACUAUUAAAAUGUAGAAGCGUCACAUGUCAUUCUAGUAUAUAAGUAGAUAUGGUUCCCAUAAUUAGUGUGUACACAUUGUUGUAAAUUAGGGAUUACCAUAACUGUAAAUUAGGGAUGGCUAUACUUGUGUAUAUAAACCAAUGUAAUUGAGAGCAAAUCAAUUAAGGAUUUAUAAACCCAAACUCUGUGUAUUCUUUUCUAUAUGGUAUCAGAGCGGGCUAUCCUUGGGCCUAAUUAAACACUCUUCUUAGCCUUCAUUCAUGCCCACUUGCAACCUAUUUCUUAAUUAGUACUACUUAUCAAUUGGGCCAAUAGUUGUCCAUGAUUUACUAGAUUUCUUCUGGACUUGCUUAUCUUGUGUGAGUCUUCAUAUACAUCAGGUCGACAUGCAACCCUCAAUACACUGGGUUAAACGUGAGGGGGAGUGUUAGAGUAUAUAUCUUGUCCCACAUUGAAUACCUUGAGAAAAUGUAUCUAGUAUAUAAUGACUUGGGUCAACUCUUCUCAUAGCCAAUUGGUUUUGAGUUAGAGUGCUUAAUGUCUUUAUAUACUAGACUUUGGGCCUAUUUUAUUAAUCAAACAUAGUACAACAACUUAGCUCAUGAAAUAUGGAUGAUAUUAGACUUACUUUUGGCAAAACAUUUCAGUUAAAAAAAUUGGCAAAACAUUCUUCACCACUAUAUUGGGGAACUAGACAUGGCAAUUGCUAGGCCUAGCUAAAAAAAUCUAUUAUUUCUCUGUUUGCAGCUGUGCAGUCUUAUUCAUAAAUAUGUUCCUGUUAAUCUUUGUCAUCUAAUGAAAAACUUCUUAUGACAGGAUUGUUGACAGAAUAUUAAAAAAGGUGGAUGAAGCUGAAAGGUUUGCCCUUCCCAGAGUACUGGUAUUUUUGUUUACUAAUAUUUUUUUGACAGGAUACUAGAACAGGUGAUUGAAGCUGAAAGGUUUUCCAAAAGUCAAAGAAUAUUAUUACCAAAAUGUUGUUAAUUUUUCUUUAUAAUCUUACACUCGUUCUGGGUUUAAUAGAAUUUUAAAGCUGAAUCAUAUAAAUUUACAUCCUGGUAUUUGGUUUUUCUUAUGUGGAUGCUAAGUUGUCAUAACAGGCAUCGUCUGGAAUGAGAACUUACCUGUUAGCUGAUGUUAGUAAUGUUAGUACCAUAACAUGUAGAUGUUAGUGAUGUUAGUAGCAUAACAUGCCUUAGGUUUAAACCAUUUCAUGUUUCCCAGUUAUCCUCCUUGUAUCAGGCGUACAUUUGUGUAUAUAUACCAAUCAAUGUAAUAGAAAAAAACUUUACUUGAAUAAAGAAAUCUAAACUCAGGUUCUUAGUUUUAACAUGGUAUCAAAGCAAGUUCCAUAAUAGACCUGAGUUUUUUUUUUCUUUCUUCUUGCUCCAUUUCUCGUUGUCGAUCAUCUCUUCCAGUAGAAACCUUGCAAGAUUAGGUUGUUUUGAGAAAUUGAACCUAUAUUAAAGUUCUACAGUCCCAGGCGACCUGACCGUAAUAUUCAAUUUUCUGACCCACUGCAGCACGCGCCACCUACACCUUACCUCUGACGCCACGCGCCAGCGUUGACCAGACACUUUCCGGCGCGGUCUCCCAAUUUGGUCGUUUUCUCUCCUCUUUCCAUCUACAAUGGUCGUCGUAUUGAGCAAAAUUCAGGUUUGUCUAGCGUUAGGCUUCGUGUUCGCUCUGUUAGUUCGUUUAUCCACUAUUAAUUCCUUAGAAGGCUUAAAAGAACAAAUUAACUGCAUUAAUUUGUUUUUUUUGGAUAAUUCCCUGUUUUUUGAGCCUGUAAAUUAUCCUUGUUGUUAUUUCCUUGGAUAAUUCUUAUUGCUCCUAUUACCUCACCAUGGCCGAAUCUGGUUCCAUUCAUAGUGAUGGUUCUACUGAAACCAAUAAAGGGCAGUUGAUUAGAAAUCAUCAUCUCAAUUCUGCUUUGGUUCUUAGUCCAUUUAAGUUGGAUAGAAACAAUUAUCUAGCUUGAUCACAAGCAUGCCGUAUGUCAAUUGAAGCUAACCGGAUGCAACACUUAAUCAUUGGUACAACAACCAUGCCUAUUCAAGCAGGUAUUGCCCAAGAAGAAUAGAAAUCUGAUAACUCCAUGAUAAAAACAUAGAUUUUUAACUCAAUGGAACCCAGUUUGAGGACUAGUUACAUGUUCUUAGACACGGCAUAUGAAUUUUGGGAGGCUAUCUCUCAAACCUUCUCUAUUUCUGGUGAUAUGUCUAAGGCAUAUGACAUCCGUAAACGAAUCCGAGAGCUGGGUCAAGGGGAGAAGCCUGUGGCACAGUAUUUUGCAAAGACUAAUGCACUUUGGCAGGAACUCGAUCAUUAUCGGGUUUUUUCAGCCAAAUGACUGGAAGAUACAACUGCUUAUCAAAAGUUUGUUAAUGAGGAUCAAGUUGUUGAUUUCUUGGCUGGUUUAAACAUUGAAUUUGAUCAAGUUCGAGCACAGUUGAUCGGUCAGACACCUUUCCCAUCACUGCGAGAUGCUCAUGUUAGAGUCCAAGAAGAGGAAAGUAGACGUCGGAUGAUGGUUCUAAACUUAAAUCAUGUUGACCGAUCAGCCCUGAUUGCUUCAUAUCCCAAGUCUGGCUUCCCCAUUCAGUCUCCUGUUGAGAAGGAGUCCCGCGAAUGUGAUUAUUGCGGGGGAAAGAAUCAUGCCAGGGAUCGAUGCUUUAAACUUCAUGGACGUCCUAAAGGGCGUGGAGGUCGGCCCAGUCGUGGUUGUGGAUGUGGAUCCCAGGCCUAUAUAUCUUCUCUACCACUUCCUGUUGAUGCACCUAGUACUUCAGAAAUUACUACUUCACUUACUCCUGAGAAAAUUUUAGUUUUUCGAAAAUUAUGUUCCAAAUCUACUCCUUCUCAUUAUCCCCAGUCAGGUAUCCAUUCUUGUGCUUUUUUGUUUCAUCAACUCGCACUAGUUGGAUUAUAGACACGGGUGCCUCCGAACAUAUGACUAGGUCCUCAAACCUCUUUACUUCAUACACGCCUUGCUCUGGAAAAGACAAGGUUCGAGUAGCUGACGGUUCCCUAUCUUUUAUCUCCGGGCGUGGUUCUGUAUUUUGUACUCCUUCAUUAACAUUAUCAUAUAUUCUUCAUAUUCCUUCGUUUACUGUAAAUUUAUUAUUUGUCCAACGUCUUUCUGAAUCUCUACACUGUUCAGUAACCUUUUUUCUAAAUCAUUGUGUUUUUCAGGACUUGGUGACGGGGCAGACGAUUGGGAGUGGUAGUGCAGUUGAUGGUCUUUAUUACCUAGAUGUUCCCUCAUCUAACAUGUCCUCCACUCAGGUUAUUCACUCUACUUCUAACUCUAGCUUGACCUCUCUUUAUUAAUGACACCGAUGCUUGGGACAUCCUUCUUUUUCAGUAUUGAAGUCUUUAUUUCCAUCUUUAGUUAAGCAAUGUAACAAAACUCAGUUUUUGUGUAAACCAUGUGAAUUCGGUAAACACAAACGUUCAGCCUAUUCUGCUAUUAACAGUCGGCAUUCUGAGCCUUUUGCUAUUAUUCACACUGAUGUGUGGGGACCCUCCCGGGUUGUUUCCCGUUCUAGUUUUAGAUGGUUUGUUAGUUUUAUUGAUUGUCAUUCUCGUGCCACUUGGAUUUAUCUCCUGCGUUCCAAAUCUGAGGUAUUUGAUUGUUUUCAGGAUUUUCAUAAAAUGAUUCAAACCCAAUUUAAUGUUAAAGUCAAAAUUCUUCAUAGUGAUAAUGGUCGUGAAUAUAGCAACAAUCAUGUUUUUGAAUCUUACCUCUCAGCAUGGCAUCAUUCUUCAAACCUCCUGUGUCAAAACUACAAAACAAAAUGGAGUGGCGGAAAGGAAAAAUCGCUAUUUACUAGAGGUUGCCCGCACUCUUAUGUUCACCAUGACAAUCCCUAUGUUUAUGUGGGAAGAUGCAGUUCUGACUGCUGCAUUUCUUAUUAACCGCCUUCCUUUUAGAAUCCUUGGAAACAAAAGUCCUAUAUCUUUUCUCAAACACACGAUCAGUCCUUCUCCUUCACCUCGAGUUUUUUGGAUGUGUGUGCUAUGUACAUGACAAAUCUCCCAUUCGGGGCAAAUUAGAUCCCAAAGUUCUUCGGUGUGUUUUCAUUGGUUAUUCUCCAACCCAAAAAGGUUAUAAAUGUUAUCAUCCUCCUUCUAACAAAGUCUUUGUCACUCGGGAUGUAACUUUUUGAGAAUUGGAAUCUUUUUAUUCUUCUUCCUCUUUUUCUCAGGGGGAGGAUGUUACUGAGGAGAAGCUCCCUUCUAAGGCUGAAGCCUUAUUCCUGUUAUCCCUUCUGAGGUUGGUAUUACAAGCCCUGUUCCUAUUGUUAUUUAUGAUAAUUCUACACAGGGGGAGUUACAUGAGCCUGAGUUGAGGACUUAUGUUCGAAAAGGCAAGAAUAAGGUCACCAUUUUUACACCACUACACCAACCUUGCUCCGCACCUGUUCUUGAUAAAGCUAAUGGUAAGAAUCCUAACCCUACUUGUUCUUCUGAUGAUACUGACAUUCUUAUUGCUCUCAGAAAAGGAGUUAGAUCUUGUACUCAACAUCCUCUCUCUAAUUUCUUAGCCUAUAAUAAAUUAUUUGCUUCCUACCACUCAUUUGUUUCUUCCUUGUCUUCAAUAUUUGUUCCUCAGGGGUGGAGAGAAGCAAUCAGUGAUGAGAAUUGGAAACAAGCUAUGAUUGAGGAGAUGAAUGCCCUGAAGAAGAAUGAUACAUGGGAACUAGUUACUCUACCCUGUGGGAAAAAAUCAGUUGGUUGCAAAUGGGUAUAUACAAUCAAGCAGAAGCCAAAUGGGACAGUUGAGAGACUCAAAGUCAGGCUAGUUGCAAAAGGAUAUAUUCAAACUCAUGGAAUUGAUUACUAGGAGAAAUUUGCUCCUGUGACGAAGAUGAACUCUGUUCGUACCAUAAUCUCAUGUGCAGCGAACUUUGGCUGGGAUAUUCAACAAUUGGAUGUGAAAAAUGCAUUCUUUCAUGGUGACUUGGAAGAAGAAGUAUACAUGGAAAUACCCUCUGGUUUUGCUUCAUCUGUCACCAAGGGGAGAGCCUGGUUCGGUAGAUUCCACAAAGCAAUGAUCAGAUUUGGAUACAAGCAGAAUCGAGCAGAUCACACUCUAUUUGUCAAAUAGAUAAAUGGGAAGACUGUCAUUCUUAUUGUUUAUGUUGAUGACAUUGUGGUGAUAAGAGAUAAUAAAGAAGAGAUAGCUAAUCUCAAAACGAGUCUGGCCAAAGAAUUUGAGAUCAAAGAUCUUGGUCCUUUGAAAUAUUUCCUUAGCAUUGAAGUUGGAAAAUCUUCCAGCGGGAUUUUUUUAUCUCAACGGAAGUAUGUUUUUGACCUCUUAACAAAAAUUGGUAUAUUAGGAUGUAAGCCUGUUGAUUCUCCUAUUGAAUAAAUCAUCAUCUACUAGGAGGCACAGGACCUACGGUUGAUAGAGAAAGUUAUCAACGUUUGGUGAGACGUUUGAUAUACCUUUCUCAUACUAGACCUGAUAUAUCUUAUGUUGUGGGUAUGGUGAGCCAAUAUAGGCAUGAUUCUCGACAUUGUCACAUAGAAACUGUCUACAGAAUUCUAAUGUAUCUCAAGUCUGCUCCUGAAAAAGGUUUAUUGUUUGCACCAAAUGGUCAUAUGAGAGUCGAAGCUUUUUCCAACUCAGAUUGGGCUGGCUCUAUUGAGGAUCGUUGUUCUACAUCAAGCUACUGUUCAUUUAUUGGAGGUAAUCUUGUUACUUGGCGUAGUAAGAAACAAUCCGUGGUGGCAAGAUCUAGUGAUGAGACUGAAUAUCGAGCUUACCUUUUUUAAACCAGAUCAUCAGCUAGCUGAUAUUCUGACUAAGGGUCUUAGUAGUAAAAUGUUUCAUUGUGUUUCAAGUUAGGUAUGCGAGACAUUUAUACACCAACUUGAGGGGGAGUGUUAGUAAAUGUUAGUAAUGUUAGUACCAUAACAUGUAGAUGUUAGUGAUGUUAGUAUCAUAACAUGCCUUAGGUUUAAACCAUUUCAUGUUUCCCAGGAGUACAUUUGUGUGUGUGUGUGUGUGUGUAUAUAUAUAUAUAUAUCAAUGUAAUAGAAAAAAACUUAACUUGAAUAAAGAAAUCUAAACUCAGGUUCUUAGUUGUUUUUUUAUAUUUAAAGUAACACCUUCAGCAGUUUAGUUUUUCAGAAAGAGGUUGUUCUGUUUCUUUUAUUUUGUAAUGGAGGGCUACAAUAUAUGCCAGUAUCAUUUAGGGAAAUGUGGAAGUUGGUGCAUAAGACUUUUUCAACUUCACAUGCCCUUUAUAUGUGAAUAUUCAUAGACAGGUUGGGGAAGCAUUUUUAGAGAAUCAUCUAGAACUUGGGCUAGAAAAUUGUAACCUGGAUUAUGAUUCAAAUUGGUAUGUGCAACGAAUACGGGAAUAGAAAACAUCACUUUCAUGGUAUCGAGUACGGUAGGGGCAGGUUUUUGACUUUUUUGGAUCGCUUAGUUGGUUCCUAAUACGUUUAUUCAAAAUAUGAUACACAAGGGAUAACUUUUUAAUAAAUAUAGUCUAAGAGUAAAAAUUAGUUGAGAUAUAGUUAAAACUAGUUGAGUUGUAGUGUCACAACAUCUGCAUUUGUAAGGAGGCUAUGUCAUGUCAUCGCUUACUAAAAGCCUACACAACACUCAUUGUGUCACAUUAGUUGACAUUCUCUAGAUUUUUUUGUUCAUAUUAGGGUUUUUGGAAGUUUUCUUUAUUUAGCCAUGUAAUAAUUGUUCUCGUCAAUAUCUUACACGUUUUAGAGAAUGAUUUUAGAUAGUCGAUCUUAGCUCUCCAUUAGAGGCCUAUAUAAAAGGAUGUCACUUAUUUGUAAAUCGUAAAGCAGUUGUAAUCAUGCUUGUGUAACAUGAAAAAUAAGUUUUUGAUUGCAAAAUUUAGUGUGUUAGAAUGAAAAUGUAUCAUGUUUUAGAACGUUUGUAUCAAAACACAGUUUGCUACCAUGUUAGGCUAUUAGCGUUUUCUGGUAACCAUGAUGGACUAGAAAAUCAACAUUCCACUCUAUAAUAGAGUAAAGAAAUAAUGAUAUUUUGCAUUUAAAAGAAAAAUUGAGAUUGCUAGAUGUUAGUUUCUUGUAAUAGGUACCAAGUUCAAUUAUUAUAGCUCAUUUCUUUAUGUAACACUUCACUUUUUAAUAUUAGAAUUCUCCAUAUGAUUUAUAUCUUACUUUGAAAACUGAACAAGGGCUUUCAUACCUCACUUUUUUAAAAUUGUUUUAAUGCGCUUGCGUUGAUUGAUAUGUCUUUUGGAUGAUGUUUAUUUUGUUUGCGAAAUUUACAUUUGCUAAUAAAAGUCUUACAUUACUGAAAUUUGAAGGUAAAAUUGUCUAUAGUCAGUUAUUUUGAUAAAAUAAGUUAGACAAAUUAUUGUUUACUUCUUUCAGGAAAAAAGUUCUUUUAAUUUAUUUUUUUUGUAAUUUAAAUCUCAUGUCGGUGCAUAACUUCUUGAAACAGGGAGCUUAUGCUUAGUGAAGAGAAAAAGAACGAGAUUUUAAGGUUUCUCUGGUUUAUAUUACUUUCACUAUCUUAUGAAUUACAAUUUAUAUAUCAUGAAAAAUUUAGUUUUGCAAUUCUUAUGUUAGAGCACGUUGCACUUUAGUAAGCUCUUUAAGACAGCUGGCUUACACAGAUUGGUGUCUAUGUAUCGCAAUUUUUUUUGUACUCGUGGUAUAUAUAUAAACUAAACAUGCCUUGUGCAGUAACAAAAAGAAGCAAUUUUUGAACCAUCUCCAUCUUUAAAGGCUUGUGAAUAAUAGAGUUCCAAAGCCUACGCUUCAUGUUGUACUGCAAGUCUGGUUUUGGAAGCUAAUUCUUUUACAACCAAUAAGAUACCCUUUUAACAUAUCAAAAGUAAUAUAAAAUAAAAUGCCCUUUAACAGUUAAAGCUAUCUAGUGUCCAUAGGAUUGUUGCAAAUUUCAAAAGGCAUUACCUCAAUAUUUGUCUUCGCUAGUUGAGGAUGUUGAGAGGCACUUUACUUUACUCGUACUUGCAUAUUUUCUUUCUCCAAUUUACGUGUAAGAUAAAAUUAUAUGCAAGUAUGCAAUGUAUAUUACUUUAUUAAUUUCAUAUUCUCGUGCUAGGAAAGCAUUGAUGUUAGGUGUACUUGCUUUGACUAAAAAACUCAAAACUACAAGGUUAUAUAAGUCUUUAAGUAUGGUGCAUAAAAGAAUUCUAGUCCUCAAAACUGCAAAUUGCUCUAGCGUUUAGCAUUAUUGGUAUGGGCUGUCUACAUUCUCAGACUAACAACAUCAUGAAUGAUAAAAGGGAUUUCAAAAUAUGGUUUUUGAAAUAUCUAAAUUUCUCUGUUUUGGACAAACCAACCAUGAAAAUUUAUUUAGGUUAUCAAUUGAAAAUUUCCUUUCUCAAUGUGCUAGUUCUAUGAUGUAAAUUUCAAACAUACAGAGGGUUAGCUCAGUUAUUAGCGUUUACAGUGUUUGUGGCAGUAGCACUUGCAGCGUUUGGACCUCUAAACGCACCGCAUCAUUUUUGGAGUGUUGCGUUUGUACCCUAGAUGCUGAGUUUAUGAGUUAAAUAAGUUGUGCUUGAAAUAAGUUGUUUGUAGAUGAAUAAGAUUUUUAAGUGUGUUUGGAAGUCUAAACACCUCAAAAGCUCCAAACGCUUAGUAACCAUUGUCUUCCUAGUUCCUAAUGUAGUUUUAGCUUUUGCAAGUUUAUGGAUUUGCACAGUUCAUUCCAUUAAGUGCAUGCUUAUUGGUGAAUUAACCCUUAUCUAGUUGUGUUUUACAUAAACAUGAACUAUAUCGCAUUGUUUUAUUUUAAAUUAAUUUUACUCUGUUUCAGUUAUUUUGGUUGAUAAAGAAUAAAAGGUACAUUUAGUUUGUAGUUCUGAUAGAAGAAGCAAGCAACGUUACGUUACUUACGUAUGGAAUUUAUUUAUCAAUCAAUUUCAGUAUUAUGUCUCUACUUCUUUAUUUGAAGGAAUAGAGUGAAAAAUGUUAAGAUUUCACCCGUUUAGUUGUCAUUUCCGUGUCUAUAUUGAGUAUUAUGUAGCAUUAUACACCCUACUUCAAUGUUUGUUAUCUACUGUUGAUCGGGUGGCCAUGGCCCGGCCAGGUUUGGUGUUGAACCAAGAGGCGCCAAGCUUGGCCCAACAGUAAAAUGGCAAGGCCUAAACCCAAACUUAGGUCAUGGGGAACUAUGGGAACUGAUUGUGGUCUACAUUAAUAAUAUCAAGAGUAUUAAGUCAUGUGUACAAAUUAAAAUCCAUGUUCGUUGUACCUAGAAUUGAUUUUUAAAAAAAUUCUUUGUACUUAGACUUGAAAAGAAGAAGAAGAAACAUUCAUUGUCAUGGACAUGAUUAAGAUGUUGUCCAAUCUUACGUAUGACAUUUCUCCAAUCUUAUGACAAAAAGAAAAAAUUCUUUUUACGAUGAAUUGGUUUCAAUAAGUAUUCAUUAUAUUUUUAUAUGAUUUUGUAAAAUGGUUCAACACAUAAAAUAUAAGGUUUUAAUUUUUCAAAAUUAGUUGUUAAUUGAUAUAUUACAUUACAUCAGUUUUUGCUACUUAGUAUUGGUACUAAUUAAGUAAUUAUAUAAUAAAUAUAAUGAACUAAAUACACAAGAUAUUGGAUAAAAAAAACACAUCUCCAUUCCAAAAUAUAGGACCAUUUUGCUAUAAAAAAAAUAAUAUAAACAAUUUCAUCCUCUUGAACCAUAAAUUAUUACUCAUUAUAUAUCUUUUAUUUUGGGUGUCCAUGUGGAUUUUUAUUUAUUUUAGUUUUUGGACGUAGAAUUGAGUAUUUUUCUUUGUAUUCAUUCAUUGCUUUAGCACAAUAUAUGAUUGGACUAUUUUUGGUUUAUCUAUAUGGUCAACAACUGCUGUGGGACUUAAUAAGAGAAAUUCAUAUUAUCCAGCUCAUAUAUUCUCCAUUUUACUAACUGAGUUUAGUGGCAGUUAUGGGAGAUCAGGGUCGGCCCUAAGUUUUGAAUGGCCUAAAGCGACAAUAAAAAAAUUUGGGCCUAUUUCAUUGGG